GACGAACGCUGGCGGCGUGCUUAACACAUGCAAGUCGAACGUGAUUUUUGUGGAAAUUCUUUCGGGAAUGGAAAUGAAAUGAAAGUGGCGAACGGGUGAGUAACACGUGAGCAACCUACCUUACACAGGGGGAUAGCCGUUGGAAACGACGAUUAAUACCGCAUGAGACCACAGAAUCGCAUGAUAUAGGGGUCAAAGAUUUAUCGGUGUAAGAAGGGCUCGCGUCUGAUUAGCUAGUUGGAAGGGUAAAGGCCUACCAAGGCGACGAUCAGUAGCCGGUCUGAGAGAAUGAACGGCCACAUUGGAACUGAGACACGGUCCAAACUCCUACGGGAGGCAGCAGUGGGGAAUAUUACACAAUGGGGGGAACCCUGAUGCAGCGACGCCGCGUGAGCGAAGAAGGUUUUCGAAUCGUAAAGCUCUGUCCUAUGAGAAGAUAAUGACGGUAUCAUAGGAGGAAGCCCCGGCUAAAUACCUG
rnacentral:rRNA from 1 species